rnacentral:rRNA from 1 species
GAUGAACGCUGGCGGCGUGCCUAAUACAUGCAAGUCGAGCGAACGGACGAGAAGCUUGCUUUUCUGAUGUUAGCGGCGGACGGGUGAGUAACACGUGGAUAACCUACCUAUAAGACUGGGAUAACUUCGGGAAACCGGAGCUAAUACCGGAUAAUAUUUUGAACCGCAUGGUUCAAAAGUGAAAGACGGUCUUGCUGUCACUUAUAGAUGGAUCCGCGCUGCAUUAGCUAGUUGGUAAGGUAACGGCUUACCAAGGCAACGAUGCAUAGCCGACCUGAGAGGGGGAUCGGCCACACUGGAACUGAGACACGGUCCAGACUCCUACGGGAGGCGGCAGUAGGGAAUCUUCCGCAAUGGGCGAAAGCCUGACGGAGCAACGCCGCGUGAGUGAUGAAGGUCUUCGGAUCGUAAAACUCUGUUAUUAGGGAAGAACAUAUGUGUAAGUAACUGUGCACAUCUUGACGGUACCUAAUCAGAAAGCCACGGCUAACUACGUG